CCUUAGCUGCAAGACUCCCCCCCGGAGAAGAAGAACUAGUUGCCGGGAAGGGAUCCGACCACCACCAACCGCCGUGUCGGAGUCACCUUUGACCACCAAAAGAGAUAAAAAUUCUCCAAUUCACUCAAAAUUCGAUUUUGAACACCCGAUGGCCAAAUAAGAGAAAAAAGACCGGCGGAUGAGAUGAAAACUGUCAGUAAAAUCCAGCGGCGUCGCCGCAGGAAAAAUAAAAAAUCGCCUCCGAUGAGGUCCUUCUC
rnacentral:lncRNA from 1 species